rnacentral:rRNA from 1 species
GAACAAGGUUUCCGUAGGUGAACCUGCGGAAGGAUCAUUAAUGAA